CAGGCACAAAGAGCAGCAACUCAUCUCUGCCAAAUCCAUCUCUGAAAUCACUCCCCCACUCCAUCCCCUCCAGCAGCAGCAGGCAAACACCAUCGAUUGCUGUUGCAUCUCCUCCAAGGCUUCCACCUCACACUGGGAAGGAAGGAAGACCCUUGGAGAGAAGGGGUGUGCACAGUUGCUGAAGAAGGAGGGUAGCCGAACUCAUCUGCAAGAUGUCCAGCAGUACCCACACCCCUUCCUAGACAAUCAGGGGAAGAGAAGAAAACCGGAUAAGGCUGAAAUUGCAGCAGGAGAAGAAAACAGCCAGGACAUCCCUGUUAGUAGCAGGACUGAAUUCUUCCCUAGAACUUUAUUCCAGAUUUUUAUCAGGCACAAGUCGACAGCAAGAGCAAGCCCACGGCAGAUGGGUGGACGUCGAACACACUGGAGGAGGAUCCUCCUACAGCUCCUGGACUUGACAACCCUACUCCACUCGCUCCUGAUGGACACUCAGCUCCACUGGCUCAGUUUCUCAGGGAGAGCCCAGCUGCCUCCCAGUCAUGGCUGCACAGAGAGUUAACAAGAACUGCCAUUCUCUGCAGGGGAACGAGGACAAAAGCAGGAAAGAGGGUUGGUCAAGCCGCACACUGGCAGAGGUCUCACUGGGAGGGAGCAACAGGAUGCUGGCAGCAUGGGUGUGUCCCCUGUCCAUCAGUGCUACUGCAGCUCCUCAGGAUCCCUCUGCCUGGGUGUCCUGCAGUGCUUGCUGAUAGGCACCCCUUCCCCAAAAGAUUUGGGCACGGCCACAGUUGGCCAAGUAAGCACCUCCCUCUCCCAUGGCAGAGGUGCACGGCCAGGGAAGACAGCCCAGCUAUUGCUGGGUCCCUGCUUGCAGACCAUCACCAAAAGCCCAAGAAACAAGCCCAGAACUCUUUUUCCCAAGUGAAAAACAACCCCCAGUGGGGAAGGGAGAGCCCAGCGUGACCCACACUGCAAACACAAGAGGCUACAGGAGGACACGC